UACGGAGGGUGCAAGCGUUGUUCGGAAUUACUGGGCGUAAAGCGCACGUAGGCGGGUUUGUAAGACGAUUGUGAAAUCCCCGAGCUUAACUUGGGAAUUGCAGUCGAAACUGCAGAUCUUGAAUGUUUGAGAGGAUGGCGGAAUUCCUGGAGUAGUAGUGAAAUACGUAGAUAUCAGGAAGAACACCAGAGGCGAAGGCGGCUAUCUGGCAAUACAUUGACGCUGAGGUGCGAAAGCGUGGGGAGCAAACAGG
rnacentral:rRNA from 1 species